GGAGAGAUGGCUGAGUGGUUGAAAGCACCGGUCUUGAAAACCGGCGUACGUUAAUAGCGUACCUAGGGUUCAAAUCCCUAGUUCCUCCU
rnacentral:tRNA from 1 species